ACGCUGGCGGCGUGCCUAAUACAUGCAAGUCGAACGCUUCACUUCGGUGAAGAGUGGCGAACGGGUGAGUAAUACAUAAGUAACCUGGCAUCUACAGGGGGAUAACUGAUGGAAACGUCAGCUAAGACCGCAUAGGUGUAGAGAUCGCAUGAACUCUAUAUGAAAAGUGCUACGGGACUGGUAGAUGAUGGACUUAUGGCGCAUUAGCUUGUUGGUAGGGUAACGGCCUACCAAGGCGACGAUGCGUAGCCGACCUGAGAGGGUGACCGGCCACACUGGGACUGAGACACGGCCCAGACUCCUACGGGAGGCAGCAGUAGGGAAUUUUCGGCAAUGGGGGAAACCCUGACCGAGCAACGCCGCGUGAAGGAAGAAGUAAUUCGUUAUGUAAACUUCUGUCAUAGAGGAAGAACGGUGGAUAUAGGGAAUGAUAUCCAAGUGACGGUACUCUAUAAGAAAGCCACGGCUAACUACGUGCCAGCAGCCGCGGUAAUACGUAGGUGGCGAGCGUUAUCCGGAAUUAUUGGGCGUAAAGAGGGAGCAGGCGGCACUAAGGGUCUGUGGUGAAAGAUCGAAGCUUAACUUCGGUAAGCCAUGGAAACCGUAGAGCUAGAGUGUGUGAGAGGAUCGUGGAAUUCCAUGUGUAGCGGUGAAAUGCGUAGAUAUAUGGAGGAACACCAGUGGCGAAGGCGACGAUCUGGCGCAUAACUGACGCUCAGUCCCGAAAGCGUGGGGAGCAAAUAGGAUUAGAUACCCUAGUAGUCCACGCCGUAAACGAUGAGUACUAAGUGUUGGGAGUCAAAUCUCAGUGCUGCAGUUAACGCAAUAAGUACUCCGCCUG
rnacentral:rRNA from 1 species